rnacentral:rRNA from 1 species
UACAGAGGUCCCAAGCGUUGUUCGGAUUCACUGGGCGUAAAGGGGUGCGUAGGCGGUCGGGUAAGUCUGAUGUGAAAUCUCACAGCUUAACUGUGAAACUGCAUUGGAUACUAUUCGGCUUGAGAGUUGGAGGGGGGACUGGAAUUCUCGGUGUAGCAGUGAAAUGCGUAGAUAUCGAGAGGAACACCAGUGGCGAAGGCGAGUCCCUGGACAACUUCUGACGCUGAGGCACGAAAGCUAGGGGAGCAAACAGG